CCGCCGAGGCGCCGCAGCCAACAGGCGGCCGAGGGUGCAGCGGCGGGAGCGCCACCGCCAGUGGGGUGGGGGCAAAGCUAUAAAGAAGACCCAGAGGGAAACGCCGGUUCAUCAAGGCAAACUUGUGAAUGGCGUCUUCUACGGAGUACUUAGUCUGCCCAGAAACGCAAGCCUCGAUGUCUUCCGAAUUCAGAUGGCUCUGCAGGAAGAGGUGGAGACAGCUAUCUGAGAGCAGGAGUGCAUUCUGGAGGACCCUGUGUGAGAGGAAAAGGGAGAAAUGAUCAGUGGUCGGGGAUGGACAAUUAGAGGGUGAGGAGAGAGCAACACGUUAGAAGGGUGGCCACCGAAGUCCUCUCUCCACUGGGCAAACUUUGCAUCAAUGAAAGACUUUGCCUAUUAAAAGGAUCAAAGCAUAUGUUAACUUUUUAUUCAAUUAUUUGGAAAUUUAGGUGAGUAAAAACAUGGAGCUAAUAGUUAAGAACAUCUGUUAAAAGAAUAACUUCAAGGACAUUUCUUCAAUUUAACCAUCUGUUAUGACCAUGUGGAUUAACUAUGGAAAGAUUUUGCUUAUGGUCAUAGAAAUGUGUGCUACUCAAAAAAAUUUUUUCACUGCCAACCAGCAGGUCGGUUCUGUGAUCUUUUUGGCAAAGCUGUCAUGAAACAUCAGAACUUUCAACGACUAUUAAAAAUUGUAUUAAAAAGCCAA